rnacentral:rRNA from 1 species
AGAGUUUGAUCCUGGCUCAGAUUGAACGCUGGCGGCAUGCCUUACACAUGCAAGUCGAACGGCAGCACGGGUGCUUGCACCUGGUGGCGAGUGGCGAACGGGUGAGUAGCACGUGAGCAACCUGCCCCGAAGACUGGGACAACACCGGGAAACCGGUGCUAAUACCGGAUAUCCCUAUCGGAUCGCAUGAUCCGCUAAGG